GUCUUGUCUUCCCUUGCAGGGCACAGUUGUCCAUCAGGGCCCAAGUCUGUGCGGGUGUCUUCUCCUGCCACCAUGCUGCUCAGCGUGGAGGAGGCACAGGCACAGAGGCGAGGCCACAGCAGCUCUCCCGCUCUGACACACUGCAGGGACAUCGAAGUGGAAGAAGGCCGCACAGCUGCAGGGGGCAAAUUCCACACAGUCAUCGACUUUCCGUCUGAAAGGUAAAGAGGACUUUCUUUCCCAGCACCUUCCUAUCAGGCGUGGUUGGGUGGGCUUUUGUGGGUUUUUCUCCACAAGUGCUAGUGCACAAACUUGCAGAAGC
ensembl:lncRNA